ACAAUCAGACACGCAUUCCACGGCGAUUCCAUCUCAGUCUAGGGGAUUAAGAGUUUUAAUGAGAAAGGCCCGUGAACAUUGAGGGGCACAGAUGGCCUCUUAUAAGGGAUUCAUUUCAGCCAUCAAGUUGUCAGCCGUCAGGAUUACUAAGAGCCAAGAUUUUCCACGAGACCUGGGGGUGGGGUGAGAAAGUUACUCGGCAGGGUCAAAUCCCGGAAGAAACAUUAAUAUGGAAUCUUGCGCUGAGAACAUAUGCCUUCCCAAGCUUACCUUCUCCAGAUGGGCAAAUACAAAAAGACGUGCUGCAAAUACGAAGGCACAAGGCAAAACUAGAAUUUGAGACCGGAGUGAUUCACAUAAAUACUGUUCCACUUGGGUUAUGUA